ACAGCAGCAGCAGUCAGACAACAACGGAAUUAAAAUUUAAUUUUAAUCGCCAAACUGAACGAAAAGAACAAACAGCAGCAGCAGAGAGCGAGCGAGAGAGCAAUAGCCUAUCCAUUGACUACGCAGACACUAACCAACACAAGUGCACAAGGAAGACAUGCAUAUGCAUGCAUGCAUACAUAUGUACGUACAUAAUGGAUAAUGGCGUGCAGACAAAUAAAUUUUUGAAGCAGCCAACUGCAUGCACACACACACACACACACACACACAUACAGACUGCAUGUGUAUUGAAAAAUUUAAUAAACACAAAAUAACGCAAGCAGGCAGCAAGAUCUGCAGCAGCAGCAGCAACAACAACGUCAGAAACAAUGCGGGCAUAUGCAAGCAAGCACACACAUGCACACCAAUACAUAUGCAGAUACAUAUGCAGACAUGCAAGGCUGGAGAUUUGUAAGGCCAUGGGAGGCGAUCGUACAGCAGCACUAACAGCAACCAGAACAACAACCAGGCGAACAGGUCGGCAUCAGGUAAACAGCAACAACAACAGGAAGUGAGAUCAACCGAGAGAAAGAGUGAGAGAGAGAGAGAGCGAGAACCGCAACGAUAAGACAGCGCCUGAUAAAUAUCGAUAAAUAAGCAGCAGGCAGGAAACUCAAAACUAAAAACAAAAGACGAACAAAGCAGUCAGUCACAGUCAAGAGGAAGAGGUUCAAUAGCCCUCCAAAUAAAUUCUAAAAAUAGUCGCAUACGAGUCGUCGUAUAAAAUAUAUGUCUACGACGGAUAUGCGCAUGGUCGCUAAUUUCUUGGCAAUACAAAUGGGUUAAUGAACUGCACUCAGCCAGCGUUGCUUGAUAAGGAAAUGCAUUCUGCUUAUCAAUAUUCACUGUUUUAAUUCUGUUUUGUAAUUGUGAUUUUCCCCAUCAUAUUAUAUUAUACAAUAUUGUGAUCCUUUUGAAAUUUUAAAUAAAUCUUGAGAACUCACCGUUUGACCAUUUUGUUGGUUACCCCAGAGUUGUUUUCCUGCUGCGUUCCAAUAUCAACGGAUUUAUUAUAAUCCAGUUUUGAGGUAAAGAUUUUGAUCCGACGGAAAUCAAUUUUGGCGAUGUUUUCUUUAA